UUGAAUUCAUGAACCAAGAGAUCAUGACCUGAGCCAAAAUCAAGACUCGAACACUUAACCACUGAGCCACCCAGGAGCCCCCAGGAAGAUUUUUUCUUAAGGUAGGAAUUUAAUGGUCCAUUCUUUAAACCACAUCAGAAUGUCUCAGUGUGGAAGUGGCCUUCUCCAAAUGUCUAUUACUCACAAAAUGAAGGAGCAGGUCCACAAGGCAAUCUCCUCAGCUCCUUCUGUGUCUAAAUAUUCGCUGUCUAUAAAAUGAUGGAGGAAGUGAUGACUCCUGGGAAAAUGUGUAGGCGAGAGAAGCAAAUGACCAAACUCUAGUCUAAGACUGUGGGUUUUGAGAGACUGUAGGUCUAUUCAGAUUGCUCGGGGCAGGGCAGUGGCACAUUGGAGACGGGGUACAAAGGGAGAAGGGACAGCUCAGCCCCUGAGCAACCUCGGGGUCUAGUUGGGGUGACCCAGUGCACACUCUGAAAACAGCAAGGAAAAUAAGCCCUACUGAGAAAGCCUGGGAUGAUGUGAGGGGCACUACAUGGCCGUUCACAGACCCAAGUUCCGACCUGGGAUCUGUCACUGUGUGACUUCAGGCCCCAGCAGUCUCAUCUGUAAAAUGAGCUUCAUCAUCUGUACAAUGAGAGGCUUAAAUUGAUUAGCAGGGGUUUUAUCUUCCCUUUUUAAAACCUAGCAUCUCGUUCUGUUAACUCUCCAUUAAUACAUUCCCCUUUUUACUUUCUCUCCUCAGGCCCGGCUCCACACCACAGAUACCCUUUCAAUUGUGCUGGGUGUGUAUCUUUUGUGUAAAUGUCUUCUUGCGGCAUAAGUAUUGCUCCUCUGUACCAAGAAGUUGGUGAAACCAGCUGCAGAGUUAUUCACAGAGAUGAUGCUCAGAAACAGACUAGAAUGAGCGUCACUCUGAUUAUCACUUUGGGAUGCAAUGCGAAAGACCACAAUCACCCUCUCUUCUGGAUCCCCCACAUCUGAUUAUGGGGAGAGAUACAGGUUCUGAAAGAAGAAAAUCAGUUGUGUUGGAAAAGAAACGCGAGGAAAUGAAUGCUGAGUCAUCACUUAGUCAGAGGAAGGACUCACAAAUGGUCCUGGCUGUGGGCAGUGAUGUUGGUCAUCCCUGGAGGAUGAGGGGGGGGGGGUGUGGGUUUUUAUUCUUGGGGGACAGGGCCAUCUCUCAUGUAUAGACUAGCCCUGCAUGAAAAGGACACUUCUGGCUUUAGUCCUCUUAUGCUGUGUUUUUCCCAAUCCAGUGAGAAAUUGCCCUCAGAAUCAGGAGUCCCACUGACCCUAGGGAGGGGUGGGUAGAUGUUUACCUUUUAUCCCUCUUUGCACUUCCUGCCCAGUUAUUUCAGGCUGCUUUCUAAUUGGCAACGGGCUGUCUGAAAUCCUACCCACACCUGGCACAGGAGCUGGGGUGAUGGAACACGUAUGCCCCUGCACAGCACCCACUGGUAACAUAGGGGAGAACUUACGGGAAACAAUGGAAGAGCUCAGAGAUUAUUGUCUUUACUUGUUAAAGCCAAAAGAAGGCGAUUCCAUCUCCCUGGGACCUGGUUUUGCUAACACUCAACCCUCGAGGACUCAGACAUUGACUACAAAAUGCCAAACCAUUUUAAAGAGCUAAAAGUUUAUGUAACCAUCUGGAAAUUCAUCACCCCCCAAUU